UCCGAACNNUGUGCGGCAGGCUUAACACAUGCAAGUCGAGCGGGCCCUUCGGGGUCAGCGGCGGACGGGUGAGUAACGCGUGGGAACGUGCCUUCUGGUUCGGAAUAACCCUGGGAAACUAGGGCUAAUACCGGAUACGCCCUUAUGGGGAAAGGUUUACUGCCGGAAGAUCGGCCCGCGUCUGAUUAGCUAGUUGGUGGGGUAACGGCCUACCAAGGCGACGAUCAGUAGCUGGUCUGAGAGGAUGAUCAGCCACACUGGGACUGAGACACGGCCCAGACUCCUACGGGAGGCAGCAGUGGGGAAUAUUGGACAAUGGGCGCAAGCCUGAUCCAGCCAUGCCGCGUGAGUGAUGAAGGCCUUAGGGUUGUAAAGCUCUUUUAUCCGGGACGAUAAUGACGGUACCGGAGGAAUAAGCCCCGGCUAACUUCGUGCCAGCAGCCGCGGUAAUACGAAGGGGGCUAGCGUUGCUCGGAAUCACUGGGCGUAAAGGGCGCGUAGGCGGCGUUUUAAGUCGGGGGUGAAAGCCUGUGGCUCAACCACAGAAUGGCCUUCGAUACUGGGACGCUUGAGUAUGGUAGAGGUUGGUGGAACUGCGAGUGUAGAGGUGAAUUCGUAGUAUUCGCAAGAACANCGGUGCC
rnacentral:rRNA from 1 species